GGGAAAAACAGAGCUCUUCCAUUUGCUUCCAUAGAUUUCUCGAGCUCUCCCUCAAGCCUGGAGUCCUAGCUUCCGCAAGCGAAUCAGGUUUUUGUUGCUGUAAUUUCUGUUGAAUUGAAAAGGGUUCAAGGGUUGCUACUUCAAGCCAUGAAGCACGCGGUGUGGAGCCAUUUGCUGCUACUCGGGUGCUCUGGAGAAAUCAGAUUAAGUCUCCAACUAGAAGAAAGAGAAGGAUCCGAAUGGGAGCAAGGCAAAACAUGGAAAAAUGAGCGCAUGAGAAUUUUAUGUUUAGGAGAUUUGGGGAAAGGGCGACCAAUCAUUUGAAAAAACUCAGGUAUAUGGUUGUUCCUCUUCGAAUUACAUGAACAUGGCUGUAUAUUUAUUUCUUUUGUGUCAAUUAUUAGAAAGAAUGCACUGGACA